CCUACGGGAGGCUGCAGUGGGGAAUAUUGGACAAUGGGGGGAACCCUGAUCCAGCCAUGCCGCGUGUGUGAAGAAGGCCCUCGGGUUGUAAAGCACUUUCAGUGAGGAAGAACGCCUGGUGGUUAAUACCCAUCAGGAAAGACAUCACUCACAGAAGAAGCACCGGCUAACUCCGUGCCAGCAGCCGCGGUAAUACGGAGGGUGCGAGCGUUAAUCGGAAUUACUGGGCGUAAAGGGCGCGUAGGUGGCUUGAUAAGCCGGUUGUGAAAGCCCCGGGCUCAACCUGGGAAAGGCAUCCGGAACUGUCGAGCUAGAGUGCAGGAGAGGAAGGUAGAAUUCCCGGUGUAGCGGUGAAAUGCGUAGAGAUCGGGAGGAAUACCAGUGGCGAAGGCGGCCUUCUGGACUGACACUGACGCUGAGGUGCGAAAGCGUGGGUAGCAAACAGGAUUAGAUACCCGAGUAGUC
rnacentral:rRNA from 1 species